UACGGAGGAUCCGAGCGUUAUCCGGAUUUACUGGGCGUAAAGGGCGCGUAGGCGCUUGUCAGUCAGGCGUGAAAGCCCCGGGCUCAACCUGGGAACGGCGCUUGGGACGGCGAGGCUGGAGUUCGGGAGAGGAGAGUGGAAUUCCCAGUGUAGAGGUGAAAUUCGUAGAUAUUGGGAAGAACACCGGUGGCGAAGGCGGCGACCUGGUCCGAUACUGACGCUGAGGCGCGAAAGCGUGGGGAGCAAACGGG
rnacentral:rRNA from 1 species